rnacentral:lncRNA from 1 species
AUGAGGUUGUUAAGUUGGACGACGAAGUUGCUUUUGAAAAAUCUAGACGAAGAGGAUCAAAGAAAGGUGGACCGAGUGUGGGACGUGAAGAUCGUUCCUUCACCCCGGGAGGCAUUUCCCCGGGAGGCAUUUCCCCGGAAGGCAUUUCCUUCACAGCCAUGUCGACUGAUGCAGCUGCAUUGAAGACUUAUGUGAGGAAGGGUUCACGACCGCGGUUCAAGAGCAAAGCUCUUAAAACUCCUUUUACUGGAACUCUAAGAAUAAAACAUGUGUGACCUUAUGAUAUGUUGAACGAUUUUAAACUUUCCUUGUUGUUGAGAUAUGUUGUAUUGUUGAAACAUUUGUUUAGUAAUUUGAAUUUGUAAUGAAUGUUAUAUUGAACUUCAAUUUUGUGACAUGGUAUUGAAGUGAAAUGAAUGAGUUAUGUCAUUGCCGUUGGGAAAUAAUGUUUCGAUACACUUGUUAAAUAUUAUAGUUGACAAAUAUUGUUAUUGAUGUUGGACUUAAUGGAUGAAAGAAACAAUGCAUGUGGACAUUGGCAACAUUCUUAGUUGGCAACACUGCCCUGUAAAGGGUUACAAUGGCCUCUUUUCACUUAAGCUGAUCAAGUGACUAACAAGGACACAUUCCAUGAACCUUGGGUGCCCAACCAUGACCUCCAAAACUCCUAACACACUUUACCAACCAUUCCCAAUAACAAAGAAUGUCGUCAUGUGAAAAAAUUAAAAAAAAAAAAACAAAGUUGGUCCACUGUGUUCAAAAAAGUGGAUCCGUGUGAAGAUCUUUCUGUACAAAAUCACCAAAACUCUCGUGUAAGCGUUUACACUGUCCUCUAAACGUUUACAAUGGCCUCCUUUAACUUAAGCUCCUCAUGUGACUAACAAGGACACAUUCCAUGAACCUUAGGUGCCCAACCAUGACCUCCAACACUCCUAACACACUUUACCAACCAUUCCCAAUAAUAAAGAAUGUCCUCAUGUGAAAAAAUUAAAAAAAAAACAAAGUUGGUCCCCUGUGUUAAAAAAAGUGGAUCCCUGUGAAGAACUUUCUGUACAAAAUCACAAAAACUCUCGUGUAAACUUUUACACUGCCCUGUAAACGUUUACAAUGGCCUCCUUUAACAUAAGCUCCUUAAGUGACUAACAAGGACACAUUCCAUGAACCUUGGGUGCCCAACCAUGACCUCCAACACUCCUAACACACUUUACCAACCAUUCCCAAUAACAAAGAAUGUCCUCAUGUGAAAAAAUUAAAAAAAACAAAGUUGGUCCCCUGUGUUCAAAAAAGUGGAUCCCUGUGAAGAACUUUCUGUACAAAAUCACAAAAACUCUCGUGUAAACGUUUACACUACCCUGUAAACGUUUACAAUGGCCUCUUUUAACUUAAGCUCCUCAAGUGACUAACAAGGACACAUUCCAUGAACCUUAGGUGCCCAACCAUGACGUCUAACACUCCUAACACACUUUACCAACCAUCCCCAAUAACAAAGAAUGUCCUCAUGUGAAAAAAUUAAAAAAAACAAAGUCGGUCCCCUGUGUUCAAAAAAGUGGAUCCCUGUGAAGAACUUUCUGUACAAAAUCACCAAAACUCUCAUGUAAACGUUUACACUUCCCUGUAAACGUUUACAAUGGCCUCUUUUCACUUAAGUUACUCAAGUGACUAACAAGGACAUAGUCCAUGAACCUUGGGUGCCCAACCAUGACCUCCAACACUCCUAACACACUUUACCAACCAUUCCCAAUAACAAAGAAUAUCCUCAUGUGAAAAAAUUAAAAAAAACAAAGUUGGUCCCCUGUGUUCGAAAAAGUGGAUCCCUGUGAAGAACUUUCUGUACAAAAUCACAAAAACUCUCGUGUAAACGUUUACACUGCCCUGUAAACGUUUACAAUGGCCUCUUUUAAUUUAAGCUCCUCAAGUGACUAACAAGGACACAUUCCAUGAACCUUGGGUGCCCAACCAUGACCUCC